CUCAUCCUUUAUGGAGUAAGGCUCGACGUAGACUAUGUCGUUGAUAGGUCGGAGGUGGAAGCGCUGUGAGGCGUGUAGCUGACCGAUACUAAUUAGCCGAGGGCUUGACCUACAA
rnacentral:rRNA from 1 species